GAUUACAAAAUAUUGAUAAUCUUCUAGUCAUACUAAUUAGGAAAAGAAAAAGAAUGCAGAAAUGACCAAUAAAGAAUAAAAGAAAAGGCAUCACUAUAGAUUCUAUAUACAUUAAAAGGAUAAAAAAUAUUAUGAGUAACUGAUAUGGUUUGGCUUUGCCCCUCCCAAAUCUCAACUUGAAUUGCAUCUCCCAGAAUUUCCACAUUUUGUGGGAGGGACCCAGUGGGUGGUAAUUGAAUCAUAGGGGCUGGUCUUUCCCAUGCUAGUCUCACGAUAGUAAAUAAGUCUAACUAGACCUGAUGGAUUUAUCAGGGGUUUCUGCUUUUGCUCUUUCCUCAUUUUCUCUUUCUGCUGCCAGGUAAGCAGUGCCUUUUGCCUCCUGCCAUGAUUCUGAGGCCUCUCAGCCAUGUCGUACUGUAACUCCAAUUAAAACUUUUUGUUCCCAGUUUCAGGUAUGUCUGUAUCAGCAGCAUGAAAACGAACUAAUACAGAGAUUGCUACUAGUAGAGUGGGGAGUUGCUGAAAAGAUACCUGAAAAUGUAAAAGCAGCUUUGGAACUGGGCAUCAUGCAGAGGCUGGAACAGUUUGGAGGGCACAGAAGAAGACAGGAAAAUGUGGGGUCUCAGUGAAGACAGAAGAAACAAAAGCGUCACUGUGGAUCCCAUCACAGCAUUGUCGAGAGACCUAUCACUGCCUGCCACCAGAGAGCCAAAGCUUCAUCUUGUCAAAAGCUCAAAAGCCCUGGGAUUUUCCAUUCUUCCUAUCUGUCAUUGUGAAGACACGCACACACUCAUUACAUAAAAACAAGAUAAAAAUUGUGCAGAGCUGCUCUAUCCCACAAUAAAGAUUGAACAAUAAGCUGGAGUGUAUUUACCUCAUGGCAUAUCUGCUAGAAACUUGGGAUUGGCAAAUGGAGAUGAGAAGAGAAUCAGAAGGCCCAAGGCAAACCCAUUGUAGCAGCAGCGGCAGUAACAGCAGAGCCAAUGGCAGAUGUGAUGGCAAACAGAUGCCCAAAACUCUGAACCAAGAGCAUAGAAGAAAUCCUCAUUGCUUUUCUUUCCCCUUUCUCAAUUCUCUCACCACUUAAACUGGCUGGCAGAACAAAUAACAAAAUAUAAACAGAAAAGUCAACAAUUCCAAGCCUCAGCUUUCUAGGUAGAAGACAAGAAAGAGAAAUUUCGAAGCUGGAAAGUUCCAGGAAAAUUAUUCAGCUGAGGAAGCUGUGGAAAUCAAUGCCAAAAUAUUGUUUAUAAAUUCCUGGGCAUACCCUCAACCUUCACAUGCAUAUAUUUCAACAUAAACAACAUAGCAAAAGCUUUGAGAAAUAACCUAUAAAGUAGACCACUGUGCAGGUCUAAUAUUGGUCAUUGGGUGGUAAACAAGCAGAAAGAUUCAAAGAACACUGCAGUCUUUGAAAACUAAAUUGACAUUUGAGCCAGCUGGAACUUGCGAUCUAAAUUCAUCUUAAUCAAUUGCUUGCUUUAAAAAAUUAGCAUUAGUAAUUUCCAUGGCUUAAAACAAGUGCCUCACAAUAUAAUAUCCAAUAUGUCCAGGAAUUACAGUGCAAAAUUACUCAAUAUAUGAAGCCCCAGGAAAAUUUCAAUGAUUUGCGAAAGAAAGGACAUUCAACAGAUGCUAACCUGAGAUAACGCAAAUGCCGGAAUGGUCAGACAAAGAAGCUGUUUUAACCACACUCCAAAAAAUGAGGGUGAUCACUAUUAAAAUAAAUGGGAAGAUAAAAAACUGCA
rnacentral:lncRNA from 13 species